AUUACAGUCAAUUUCAGCUGACUUUUCAUCGUAAGAUUCCGAACUUCGUUCCGAACUUCGCAAAUUUGUUGCCAAGUUCAAAAGUUCACAAUGAAAUUCACAAACAGGUUUGUAAACAAAGCCUCUGAUUGGCUAUUAAAUCAAACCAGCCAGUUUACAAACCUGUUUGUGAAUUCAUUAUGAACUUUUGAACUUGGCAACGAAUUUGCGAAGUUCGGAACGAAGUUCGGAAUCUUACGAUGAAAAGUCAGCUGAAAUUGACUGUAA